AGAGUUUGAUCAUGGCUCAGGACGAACGCUGGCGGCGUGCUUAACACAUGCAAGUCGAACGGUAAGGCCCUUUCGGGGGUACACGAGUGGCGAACGGGUGAGUAACACGUGGGUGAUCUGCCCUGCACUUUGGGAUAAGCCUGGGAAACUGGGUCUAAUACCGAAUACACCUUGCUGGUCGCAUGGCCUGGUGGGGGAAAGCUUUUGCGGUGUGGGAUGGGCCCGCGGCCUAUCAGCUUGUUGGUGGGGUGAUGGCCUACCAAGGCGACGACGGGUAGCCGGCCUGAGAGGGUGUCCGGCCACACUGGGACUGAGAUACGGCCCAGACUCCUACGGGAGGCAGCAGUGGGGAAUAUUGCACAAUGGGCGCAAGCCUGAUGCAGCGACGCCGCGUGAGGGAUGACGGCCUUCGGGUUGUAAACCUCUUUCAGUACCGACGAAGCGGAAGUGACGGUAGGUACAGAAGAAGCACCGGCCAACUACGUGCCAGCCGCCGCGGUAAUUC
rnacentral:rRNA from 1 species